rnacentral:rRNA from 1 species
UACGUAGGGGGCAAGCGUUGUCCGGAAUCAUUGGGCGUAAAGCGCGUGUAGGCGGCUGGGUAAGUCCGCUCUGAAAGCCCGGGGCUCAACCCCGGGAGGCGGGUGGAUACUGCUCAGCUCGAGUCCGGAAGAGGAGUGUGGAAUUCCUGGUGUAGCGGUGAAAUGCGGCAGAUAUCAGGAGGAACACCAAUGGCGAAGGCAGCACUCUGGGACG